AUGAACCGACCAAAAGGGAACUCAGCAGGUAGGAGGACCGCCGAGCUUCGACACUUGUUGGAGUUCCGCCGGCAAUGCUGGACGCCAUCCCCCACCGACAGGAAGGGGGUCACCCUCCCAUACUCGCCCGAGGGGGUGUGGAUCCUUCAAAACUAUGCCCGGCUAUGGGAGGGUAUAUCCCAGGGAGAGCCGCAGGUUUUCCCCUCGAGGUCCCCACCGUCAGCCCAGCUGCCAGAAAUCCCAGAGGGUCGUGUCCUGGCCGUGGCAACCCUGGGGGAUCAGGCAAGUCCCCCCCAGAGUCCUGAGGCGCCUUCCACAGCCAGCAGUCUCCCCAUGAAGCGAGGGAGACGAUUGUCGUGGGAGUCAGCCUCGGAGGCGUCGGCGUCGGCAUCAGAGUCUGCCCUGCCUAAGACCGAACUCCCCCAACCCGUCUCUGAUCCAGCUGUGGCCUCUGCACCGCGGCCAAGGAGGAAGAGGAAGAAGAAGGGGUCUUCCGGUCCUGCGACUUUGUCUCCUCCUGCAGCGGUGAGCGUGCCCGUGCCAGCAGCGGUGAGCGUGCCCGUGCCAGCAGCGGUGAGCGUGCCCGAGCCAGCAGCGGUGAGCGUGCCCGAACCAGCAGCGGUGAGCGCUGGCGUGCCCGAGCCGGCAAAGAAGAGAGCUGUAUGCAAGUCUGCAGUCGUGAGAGCGGAGGAGAGAGCCGCGGCCGACUCUGCAGCAAAGACUCUAGUACAGUCUGUCUCAUCUCGUAAGGAGAUGCCAGUUAUCCUAGCUGCUAAAGCCUUCUCAGAUUAUUUUUCUCGUCUUGUCCAGAUCCUAGAAGUCCCCGUCAGUCCUGUCUUGUCCCCUGACCCAGUCCCCAGAAAUCCCGAGUGUCCCGUAGAUGUCGUCUCCCCGUGUCCCGUAGAUGUCGUCUCCCCGUGUCCCGUAGAUGUCGUCUCCCCGUGUCCCGUGAGUGUUGCCCCGUGUCCUGUUGAUGUAGCCCCGUGUCCCGUAGAUGUCCCGUGUCCUGUUGUCUCCCCGUGUCCAGUAGAUGUUGUUCCCCCGUGUCCAGCUGUCGUCUCCCCGCAUCCCGUAAGUGAUGCCCCGCGUCCCGUGUCUGCUCCUGUCAUGUCCUCUGUCAGUUGUCCCGAGACCCCUCCCCACCCCUCACCACCCAGACCUGCCCGUACCCCCCGUCGUCAGCCUUCGUCCUGUCCUCCUAAGAUCCCUACCCCUCCCACCCACCCUGGUCUGUCCCCCAUGAACUUUGUGCUCCCGCCUCCUCCCCUUCCCUGUUUGUUUUUUUUUUUAUUUGCCACCCUAACCCUGCCAUUGUGUAUUCAUGUUUGCCGUUGUUAUUAUUUGUCAUGUCUUGUUGGUUUGUGUCUGUGUCCCAGUCUGUCAUGUCAGUCAUGUCCCGUGUUUGAUGUUCCCUUGAGGAGCGUCUGGAAGCCGCUCCUUAAGGGAGGGGUUCUGUCAUGA
rnacentral:lncRNA from 1 species